GAUGAACGCUGGCGGCGUGCCUAAUACAUGCAAGUCGAGCGAACAGACGAGGAGCUUGCUCCUCUGACGUUAGCGGCGGACGGGUGAGUAACACGUGGAUAACCUACCUAUAAGACUGGGAUAACUUCGGUAAACCGGAGCUAAUACCGGAUAAUAUAUUGAACCGCAUGGUUCAAUAGUGAAAGACGGUUUUGCUGUCACUUCUAGAUGUAUCCGCGCCGCAUUAGCUAGUUGGUAAGGUAACGGCUUACCAAGGCAACGAUGCGUAGCCGACCUGAGAGGGUGAUCGGCCACACUGGAACUGAGACACGGUCCAGACUCCUACGGGAGGCAGCAGUAGGGAAUCUUCCGCAAUGGGCGAAAGCCUGACGGAGCAACGCCGCGUGAGUGAUGAAGGUCUUCGGAUCGUAAAACUCUGUUAUUAGGGAAGAACAAAUGUGUAAGUAACUAUGCACGUCUUGACGGUACCUAAUCAGAAAGCCACGGCUAACUACGUG
rnacentral:rRNA from 1 species